rnacentral:rRNA from 1 species
GACGAACGCUGGCGGCGUGCCUAAUACAUGCAAGUAGAACGCACAGUUUAUACCGUAGCUUGCUACACCAUAGACUGUGAGUUGCGAACGGGUGAGUAACGCGUAGGUAACCUGCCUGGUAGCGGGGGAUAACUAUUGGAAACGAUAGCUAAUACCGCAUAAUAUUGAUUAUUGCAUGAUAAUUGAUUGAAAGAUGCUAUUGCAUCACUACCAGAUGGACCUUCGUUGUAUUAGCUAGUAGGUGAGGUAACGGCUCACCUAGGCGACGAUACAUAGCCGACCUGAGAGGGUGAUCGGCCACACUGGGACUGAGACACGGCCCAGACUCCUACGGGAGGCAGCAGUAGGGAAUCUUCGGCAAUGGACGAAAGUCUGACCGAGCAACGCCGCGUGAGUGAAGAAGGUUUUCGGAUCGUAAAGCUCUGUUGUAAGAGAAGAACGGGUGUGAGAGUGGAAAGUUCACACUGUGACGGUAUCUUACCAGAAAGGGACGGCUAACUACGUG